GGUCUCAGGGGCUUGACUGCUCCCAGCUGCACCUGAAACACAGAGACCAGGAUAAAACGGGGGAUUGCCAAAAGACUAUUUUCUAUCAGGGUGUUUCUUUUGGCUCAUAGAGGAUGGAGGGAUACAGGACAUCCCCUACCAAGCAUGCUGAGCUGAAUGGCCCGGCGCAAAUCGGCUUCUUCGUCCUCCACCUCCAUGUCUUGUCGACUCAUGGCCAGGGCCUUCCGUAAUUCCUCCUCAUCCUCGUCAAUCACGCCCUCUUCCAGACCCUGCCCCACCUCCAACAUCUGCUGCAUUGAUGUGCUGUUACACCAAUCAUAAUAAGGGCAGUUAUACCUGUGCUUACUGAAUUCCAUAGCUUUUCAAGCCCAUCCGUACAAAGAAAAAACACUAUUUUGUAGGUUAUUCUGUUUGUCACACAGGAUAUGUAUACAGAGACAGCGGAGAUGCACUAGCCUUUAUGCGAAUGCAAAAUAAAAAUGUGCAUCUUGAAAUUC